rnacentral:lncRNA from 1 species
AAAAGCGAUCCCCCUCAGCCCCCCCCUGCCGCCCGUCCCGCUGAGGGGCUGAGAGAAACCCGAGAGAAGACAUCUUAAAAUGCAGUUGCAUGGGGUUUCCUUCAUGCCACGAGGAGGAAAAAAAUAAUAAUCCUAAUUUAGUUCCAGCUCCGUGGGCAGAUGAAGACAUUUCUGGUGUGCUCCCAUUUCUGGAGGUGCCCUGAAAGGAUGACUGUGUUGGCAGCACUCUUCCUGACUCCACUAAAUGCAAGGCUGCAGGAUUUUGCAUGCUGAGGAGUUAAACACGAAAAUGAAAAGGACCGGGGGAGGCUCUCGAGAUGUGCUUCCCGCACUCUCAGAGCUCCCCACCAGCCGCUAUCCCGCCGGCCUCGCCGUGCCGCUGCUUUUUGCCAACUGCAGCUUCGUUGCAGGCCACAGGAGCUUCACAAUUAAAUAAAGUCUUGCUUCAGGGGACACUGUACUAUAGUGGCUACAGGGCAAAGCUGAGACAUUUGCCUUGCCUUAAAACUGAUGUGUUUGAAAACUUCUCCUUCCCCGGUGAAUGUGAGGGGAAAAAAAUAGGUUUUAUCUGUUCAAGGUGAUAGCAUCUGGAAGCUGUAAUACAGGAAGGUGCAAAUUCUUUCUUUCUCCGUUCCAGAGCUAAAUUUAGAACAAAAAUCUGAAUGUACUGUUUACUUUUAUUAGCUAAAAGAGUAAGUGUAGCUUAUGUGAGAAACACUGAAAAAUCAGUAAUUUCCAGUCAGGCAACAAUAUUUGUGGAGCAGCAAAGUUUACUCAUUACUGCAAUAAUGGGUGCACACACCCUUGUGGCAAGGGUGAAAUUGCACAUCUUGUCAGAGAAAUCCAUACUGUUACGUACAGUAUCUCCAACGCGUGUCACAUUUCUUCUGGAACUCCUUGGCUGAGCAUCUCAGGCUCACAACCCACCCGAAGCAGUUUCUAAGGUACACUUCCAUAUAAGGUCUAUCACCCACCUGUUGUUUUUCAUUUUUCAAAGGGAGACAGGAGGACGAUGUAUUCUAAGCCCAUCUGCGGUUCCCCAUUCAUCAAGGGGGACAAGAGGACAAGGUAUACUAGGCUCUCCCUACCCUACCUAUCCGCCUCAGCUACUAUUGGUAUCUACCCACCUGGUCAGAAUGUUCUGAAAAAUAAAAUACUUGGCAUACUCUCUCUACC